AAAGUCCUGCGCUGUACGUUACGAUUUUAUGUUGUUUUGAACCAAUGACAUGUUUCUCGGGAGACCUAUAUUGCUGGGUUGAUGACACGCCUCCUCCUUUGACGAGGACCUCAAAAACACAGUUGCGGACACCCACCUGCUUAUGCAGGUUUGAAGCACUUGAAUCGGACGGCAUGUGCGGGCUAAUA
rnacentral:other from 1 species